UUGCCUUAAAUUGCAUGCCUAGCUUGCAUGAAAAUAGUGAGCAAUUCUGACAGGAGAACUUCACUAGUUAGAAUGCAUAAGUAAUCUAAACGUGAAAUGCAUGUGCACGUACAAACCUUACUUGUGAUGAGGCAACAUCAUAUGUACUUUGAUCUUCAAUAACUCAAACUUCAAUACUAAGUAUCCUAAAGUCUAAUCUAAAGAACAAAUAUCUAAAGAGAGUAUGUGCAGUACAUAAUUACAAGUUUAGACUUCACAACACUGUCCUAUAGUAGUACAUAAUUACAAGUUUAGACUUCACAACACUGUCCUAUAGUUACAUGUCGAUUUUUGACGUAUCUUGGGAUCGGGGUGUGAUAGUUGGAUCCACCAUUAUUCUUAAAUUGGCCCCUAAACAUAACAUAGGAGAUUGAAUUUCGUUCGAUAAAUAUAACUUCAUAUUUUAGUAUAGGUCAAUGAACAUUUUACUUUCUAGCAUAAGUCAAUUAAAAUAAUUCUCCUCACCAACCAAAGUCAAUAAUUCUUUAAAAAACAAAGGUCAAUGAAAAUAUUUCUUUUUUUUUCUCCAACUAAGUUCAAUACCACUUGCUAAAUUUUCUCUCUUCAUUGAUCUCUACUAUUAAAAUUUCUCUCUUCACAUGACAUCAAAUUUAACGAUAUGAACCGUCUAUUUUUAU
rnacentral:lncRNA from 1 species